CUGAGGUCCUCCUCAACGUCUUUGGACCCCUGAAUUGGCUUUUGUAUUAGUUGGAACGCCAGAACAUGAACAAUCUAACUACUCUUCUGUCUUUAUGGUACUACUGGAAGCAUGUUCAAGACUAAAUUGUACAACUUUGUUAUGCAAAUGAGUGUAUAUGCUAUGAACCAAAAUAUUUAGUCAGUUUGAUGAUGCUUCCUUCUUUGGGAUAAUCUUAUUCACAAUUAAAACAACUUUGAACCUUUUGGUAAACCGAUGUCUGGCACAUGGGGUUUCGAGGGUUAUAACGGGCGAGACACAAAACAAGUAUGAGGAUGGUGUACAGCUUGAAUGCUUGCAAAAUUGCCGAGGAUUCUGUUUGGGGGGCAAGAAUGGUUCAUGCCAAAGGAAACUCUCCUGUUAACAAGGAGUCAAU